rnacentral:rRNA from 1 species
AGUGAACGCUGGCGGUAGGCCUAACACAUGCAAGUCGAACGGCAGCACAGUAAGAGCUUGCUCUUACGGGUGGCGGGUGGCGGACGGGUGAGGAAUACAUCGGAAUCUACUUUUUCGUGGGGGAUAACGUAGGGAAACUUACGCUAAUACCGCAUACGACCUACGGGUGAAAGCAGGGGAUCUUCGGACCUUGCGCGAUUGAAUGAGCCGAUGUCGGAUUAGCUAGUUGGCGGGGUAAAGGCCCACCAAGGCGACGAUCCGUAGCUGGUCUGAGAGGAUGAUCAGCCACACUGGAACUGAGACACGGUCCAGACUCCUACGGGAGGCAGCAGUGGGGAAUAUUGGACAAUGGGCGCAGGCCUGAUCCAGCCAUACCGCGUGGGUGAAGAAGGCCUUCGGGUUGUAAAGCCCUUUUGUUGGGAAAGAAAAGCAGCAGGUUAAUACCCCGCUGUUCUGACGGUACCCAAAGAAUAAGCACCGGCUAACUUCGUG